CUCACACCCAUCAACGCCCGGGUACUACGAGCCCCAGCUUAAAACCCAAAGGACUUGACGGUGUCCCAUCCACCUAGAGGAGCCUGUUCUAUAAUCGAUAAUCCCCGCUAAACCCAACCUUCUCUUGCAAUCAGCCUGUAUACCUCCGUCGUAAGCUUACCAUAUGAGUGACCUUAGUAAGCUAAAUGGUCACAAAACCCCAAUACGUCAGGUCAAGGUGCAGCUCAUGAAAAGGCAAAAAAUGGGCUACAAUUUCUAAUCUAAAACAAACGAAACACUGCAUGAAACUCAGCUGUGAAGGCGGAUUUAGUAGUAAAAAAAAAAUACCGUGUUCUUUUUAACUAGGCCCUGGGACGUGUACACACCGCCCGUC
rnacentral:rRNA from 1 species